GACGAACGCUGGCGGCGCGCCUAACACAUGCAAGUCGAACGAGCGAGCGAGAGCUUGCUUUCUCAAGCGAGUGGCGAACGGGUGAGUAACGCGUGAGGAACCUGCCUCAAAGAGGGGGACAACAGUUGGAAACGACUGCUAAUACCGCAUAAGCCCACGACCCGGCAUCGGGUAGAGGGAAAAGGAGCAAUCCGCUUUGAGAUGGCCUCGCGUCCGAUUAGCUAGUUGGUGAGGUAACGGCCCACCAAGGCGACGAUCGGUAGCCGGACUGAGAGGUUGAACGGCCACAUUGGGACUGAGACACGGCCCAGACUCCUACGGGAGGCAGCAGUGGGGAAUAUUGCACAAUGGGGGAAACCCUGAUGCAGCGACGCCGCGUGGAGGAAGAAGGUCUUCGGAUUGUAAACUCCUGUUGUUGAGGAAGAUAAUGACGGUACUCAACAAGGAAGUGACGGCUAACUACGUGC
rnacentral:rRNA from 1 species